CUUAUCAAUCGCUCUAUAAUGCAGUCGACGAACUCUGGUAUUGAUUGGUGCUUGCAUCAUGAUUUACAUUUGAGUGAGUGGCGAACUGGUGAGUAACACGUGGGAAACCUGCCCAGAAGCGGGGGAUAACACCUGGAAACAGAUGCUAAUACCGCAUAACAACUUGGACCGCAUGGUCCGAGUUUGAAAGAUGGCUUCGGCUAUCACUUUUGGAUGGUCCCGCGGCGUAUUAGCUAGAUGGUGGGGUAACGGCUCACCAUGGCAAUGAUACGUAGCCGACCUGAGAGGGUAAUCGGCCACAUUGGGACUGAGACACGGCCCAAACUCCUACGGGAGGCAGCAGUAGGGAAUCUUCCACAAUGGACGAAAGUCUGAUGGAGCAACGCCGCGUGAGUGAAGAAGGGUUUCGGCUCGUAAAACUCUGUUGUUAAAGAAGAACAUAUCUGAGAGUAACUGUUCAGGUAUUGACGGUAUUUAACCAGAAAGCCACGGCUAACUACGUGCCAGCAGCCGCGGUAAUACGUAGGUGGCAAGCGUUGUCCGGAUUUAUUGGGCGUAAAGCGAGCGCAGGCGGUUUUUUAAGUCUGAUGUGAAAGCCUUCGGCUCAACCGAAGAAGUGCAUCGGAAACUGGGAAACUUGAGUGCAGAAGAGGACAGUGGAACUCCAUGUGUAGCGGUGAAAUGCGUAGAUAUAUGGAAGAACACCAGUGGCGAAGGCGGCUGUCUGGUCUGUAACUGACGCUGAGGCUCGAAAGUAUGGGUAGCAAACAGGAUUAGAUACCCUGGUAGUCCAUACCGUAAACGAUGAAUGCUAAGUGUUGGAGGGUUUCCGCCCUUCAGUGCUGCAGCUAACGCAUUAAGCAUUCCGCCUGGGGAGUACGGCCGCAAGGCUGAAACUCAAAGGAAUUGACGGGGGCCCGCACAAGCGGUGGAGCAUGUGGGUUUAAUUCGAAGCUACGCGAAGAACCUUACCAGGUCUUGACAUACUAUGCAAAUCUAAGAGAUUAGACGUUCCCUUCGGGGACAUGGAUACAGGUGGUGCAUGAUGUCGUCAGCUCGUGUCGUGAGAUGUUGGGAUAAGUCCGCCACGAGCGCAACCCUUAUUAUCAGUUGCCAGCAUUAAGUGGCACCUCU
rnacentral:rRNA from 1 species